UUCCACAUCGCCGUCCUUCACUCUGAAGGAUCAGAGGUUUUUAGAGGAGGGGUUAUCAAACCUUAUCCAGCUCACCUUGGAUGGUCAGGUGUAAAAUGUUUUUUUCUGUCUAAACCUUUAGGGAAAUGAAGUGAAACCACCAUCUCAUGUAAUCUCUGCUGGGAUAUUUUAAGCUUCGAUUUGCGAAGCACAGAAAACUGACUGCGUCCCAAGGAGCCAGACGGAGGAGCGUAAAGGGAACAAGUCCUCUGGCUUUUUGGACCGCCAGGAGAAAAGCAGCGCAGAUGAAGGACGGGGUGGAAACGAGCUAAAAGAGGAGCAACACAAAGGAUGUGAUGCUGUGUAGCUGACAGAACCGAACCGAACAGAACCUGCUGCACAGACCGUCUCAUCUGCAUGUCAGCUCCAGCUCAUCCCGGCUCUUUGCCUCGUCUGUCCGGAUGAAGUGAACAUAAAUCUGACACUCAGAGCCAGACGGCCACACAGGCGGAGUUUAUGGGGGUCGUCUGGUGGCAGCAAUAAAAGCGCAGCAGCAUUCAGAGCAGCAGCAAAAUUUAA